GACGAACCGUGCGAACGUUGUUCGGAAUCACUGGGCUUAAAGGGCGCGUAGGCGGACUAUCAAGUCUGGGGUGAAAUCCCGCGGCUCAACCGUGGAACUGCCUCAGAUACUGACGGUCUCGAGGGAGGUAGGGCAUGCGGAACUGUAGGUGGAGCGGUGAAAUGCGUUGAUAUCUACAGGAACUCCGGUGGCGAAAGCGGCGUGCUGGACCUCUCUGACGCUGAGGCGCGAAAGCUAGGGGAGCAAACGGG
rnacentral:rRNA from 1 species